UUCCAACGAGGAGACACACAAAGUACACAACGCAUCAUGGUAACCCUCAAAAUUAAAAGGAAUCCAGUGUGUGCUUUGGCGUCUUUGACGGCAUAUCUAAGCUCCUUCUCGAUUAUAAGUUGGAAGCCUCUGGUGUAGAACCAAAGGUGGUGAUAGCCACAAACAUAAACCCUAAGUUAGUUGGAGGUAUAUGGAUUAGCAAACUUGCUCAGUAAUCAGUAAUGACAAAGUUGUAGGGUCUGCUUUUUUCCACGUCGGCUGUUCCUAAAGAAGCUCUCUUCGCGUGAAAAGCAUUGACAGGAACGAAAGAGGAUGCACUGGUGAUGCAUUGUUGAGGAUCAGACAGCAGCAACAUAUAUCCCAAAUCAGACAACUCUAGCUGAUAGAGACACUGGUGAGGAUGAUUUAGCUGAGGCGGAAGAGCGUUCCGCGCAAGAAGAUGCGUAACGAGUAACGACCUACAGAUCGUGAGAAAGUGUUAG